rnacentral:rRNA from 1 species
UACGUAGGGUGCGAGCGUUGUCCGGAAUUACUGGGCGUAAAGCGCGUGUAGGCGGUUGCCCAAGUCGGGUGUGAAAGCCUUGAGCUCAACUCAAGAAAUGCACUCGGUACUGGGUGACUAGAGGACCGGAGAGGAUAGUGGAAUUCCCAGUGUAGUGGUGAAAUACGUAGAGAUUGGGAAGAACACCAGUGGCGAAGGCGGCUAUCUGGACGGUUUCUGACGCUAAGACGCGAAAGCGUGGGGAGCAAACAGG